rnacentral:rRNA from 1 species
GUCUAUAGCCAUGCUACCCUGAACAAGCUCAAUCCCAUCUCAUCUCUGAAGCUAAGCAGGGUCAGGCCUGGUUAGUACUUGGAUGGGAGACCACCUAGGAAGACCAGAAGCUGUCGGCA